rnacentral:rRNA from 1 species
UACGUAGGCAGCAAGCGUUGUUCGGAGUUACUGGGCGUAAAGAGUGCGUAGGUGGUGCCCUAAGUCUGUUGUGAAAUCUCCCGGCUUAACUGGGAGGGUGCGGUGGAAACUGGGGUGCUUGAGUGUGGGAGAGGUAAGCGGAAUUCCUGGUGUAGCGGUGAAAUGCGUAGAUAUGUGGAGGAACACCGAUGGCGAAGGCAGCCUUCUGGGCCAACACUGACGCUCAUGCACGAAAGCGUGGGGAGCAAACAGG